GUCUCGUUAGCUCAGCUGGUAGAGCACGUCACUUUUAAUGAUGUGGCCGAAGGUUCGAAUCCUUCACGGGACACCA
rnacentral:tRNA from 1 species